AGCCAGCUGACCUGAUGGAAGGGAGGGUUCCUCAGCCAGUCUGGGGAACCUGUCACUUCAGGACAGAGCCUGCUGAGCCCAGGUUGGUUAUCGAGCUGUCUCACGAAGCAUGACUCAAGUGACAUCUCUACUGAUCUCAUCAAAGUCUUUUCCAGAGGCUUCAAGGGAAGAUGGAGAGAUAAGGGCUUGGUAAUGUUGAGAUCUGGAACAUUAAAAAAACAGGCAUUGCUAACUGACUGCAAGGCAACAGGACAGGAUGAGGGCUGCCCAGCAGAGUCCGAGGGAGGCGGCAGGAUGCCAUCUGUCUGAGGGAAGACUCCAACAGAACCGUGGCAUAUGAAGAGGAUUUUUAUUAUGGAAAUAGGCACAGGAGAGUUUCAGAAGUCUCCUCAGGUCUUGCAGUGGUCUCAAGCCUCGGAUAAUGCAAUUAAAAAAAGAUUUUGAUGUACUCAUGUCUCUUUGCUGAAUAUCUGACCAAAUUAUUACAAUUUUUCAUAACUAAGGAAUAUACUGCUGUCAAGAAUUUGACUU